rnacentral:rRNA from 1 species
AGCGAGACCUUCGGGUCUAGCGGCGGACGGGUGAGUAACGCGUGGGAAUGUGCCCUUCUCUACGGAAUAGUCCCGGGAAACUGGGUUUAAUACCGUAUACGCCCUUCGGGGGAAAGAUUUAUCGGAGAAGGAUCAGCCCGCGUCUGAUUAGGUAGUUGGUGGGGUAAUGGCCUACCAAGCCUACGAUCAGUAGCUGGUUUUAGAGGAUGAUCAGCCACACUGGGACUGAGACACGGCCCAGACUCCUACGGGAGGCAGCAGUGGGGAAUCUUAGACAAUGGGCGCAAGCCUGAUCUAGCCAUGCCGCGUGAGUGAUGAAGGCCUUAGGGUCGUAAAACUCUUUCGCCAGGGAUGAUAAUGACAGUACCUGGUAAAGAAGCCCCGGCUAACUCCGUGCCAGCAGCCGCGGUAAUACGGAGGGGGCUAGCGUUGUUCGGAAUUACUGGGCGUAAAGCGCGCGUAGGCGGACUAUUAAGUCAGGGGUGAAAUCCCGGGGCUCAACCCCGGAACUGCCCUUGAUACUGGUAGUCUUGAGUUCGAGAGAGGUGAGUGGAAUUCCGAGUGUAGAGGUGAAAUUCGUAGAUAUUCGGAGGAACACCAGUGGCGAAGGCGGCUCACUGGCUCGAUACUGACGCUGAGGUGCGAAAGUGUGGGGAGCAAACAGGAUUAGAUACCCUGGUAGUCCACACCGUAAACGAUGAAUGCCAGUCGUCGGCAAGCAUGCUUGUCGGUGACACACCUAACGGAUUAAGCAUUCCGCCUGGGGAGUACGGUCGCAAGAUUAAAACUCAAAGGAAUUG